rnacentral:piRNA from 1 species
UGAGAGGAUUUCGCUAAGCUCCUCA